rnacentral:rRNA from 1 species
AACGAACGCUGGCGGCAUGCCUAACACAUGCAAGUCGAACGAGACCUUCGGGUCUAGUGGCGCACGGGUGCGUAACGCGUGGGAACCUGCCCUUAGGUUCGGAAUAACUCCCCGAAAGGGGUGCUAAUACCGGAUAAUGUCUUCGGACCAAAGAUUUAUCGCCUUUGGAUGGGCCCGCGUUGGAUUAGCUAGUUGGUAGGGUAAAAGCCUACCAAGGCGACGAUCCAUAGCUGGUCUGAGAGGAUGAUCAGCCACACUGGGACUGAGACACGGCCCAGACUCCUACGGGAGGCAGCAGUGGGGAAUAUUGGACAAUGGGCGAAAGCCUGAUCCAGCAAGGCCGCGUGAGUGAUGAAGGCCUUAGGGUUGUAAAGCUCUUUUAACCGGGAUGAUAAUGACAGUACCGGGAGAAUAAGCCCCGGCUAACUCCGUG